rnacentral:rRNA from 1 species
UAGGGAAUCUUCCGCAAUGGGCGAAAGCCUGACGGAGCAACGCCGCGUGAGUGAUGAAGGUCUUCGGAUCGUAAAACUCUGUUAUUAGGGAAGAACAAAUGUGUAAGUAACUAUGCACGUCUUGACGGUACCUAAUCAGAAAGCCACGGCUAACUACGUGCCAGCAGCCGCGGUAAUACGUAGGUGGCAAGCGUUAUCCGGAAUUAUUGGGCGUAAAGCGCGCGUAGGCGGUUUUUUAAGUCUGAUGUGAAAGCCCACGGCUCAACCGUGGAGGGUCAUUGGAAACUGGAAAACUUGAGUGCAGAAGAGGAAAGUGGAAUUCCAUGUGGAGCGGUGAAAUGCGCAGAGAUAUGGAGGAACACCAGUGGCGAAGGCGACUGUCUGGUCUGUAACUGACGCUGAUGUGCGAAAGCGUGGGGAUCAAACAGG